AUCCAGAUGACGGGUCCGAAAUAGGACGAAUCGAGCGUCCUGGAU
rnacentral:hammerhead_ribozyme from 1 species